rnacentral:rRNA from 1 species
AAGUAGCCAUCCUUUAAAGAGUGUGUAACAACUCACUAUCAGAGACUUUACUUAGGUAAAGUUUGGUUGGUUGCGCUAAAAAUGAAUCGGGGCUAAGUCAAAUACCGAAACUGAAGAUAUCAAUCGUUAAGAUUGAUGUGGUAGAGGAGCAUUUUAUAUGCGUUGAAGCAGCAGUUGUGAAACGCUGUGGAGUAUAUAGAAGAGAAAAUGUUGGCAUAAGUAACCUGCAAUCCUGAUGAAAUAUCAGGAGGCCGAAAACCCAAGGUUUCCUACUCAACGACAAUCGGAGUAGGGUUAGUCGGUCCUAAGCUGAUGCCGAAAGGCGAAAGUGAUGGACAGCUGGUUAAUAUUCCAGCACUUCAGUUCCUUGUGAUGGAGGGACAAAGCAUAGUAGAUGAAGCAUUUUAUUAGAUUAAUGUCUUUUACUAAGGACGUGUGUUUGGCAAAUCCGACACGCUGGAUUAAAUUCCAAGUUCAAGGAAAAAAGCGAAGCUCUGUAAUUAGGGCGAAGUUCAUCGAGCAUGCUUUCGAGAAAAUCUUCUAAACUUAGAGGAAUUGAAACCGUACCAAAACCGACACAGGUGGGUAAGGCGAGAAGCCUAAGGCCAACGAGUGAUUGGUCCCUAAGGAACUCGGCAAACAAGCUGGGCGUAAGUUCGCAAGAUGCCCUCCCUAGCUGCUGUUUUACAGCGGAAGGGCGCAGCUAAAGUUUUUCUGGCGACUGUUUACCAAAAACACAGCUCCCUGCAAAAUCGUAAGAUGAAGUAUAGGGGGUGAAACCUGACCGAUGCGAGAAGGUUAAAACUGGCGAUGUCAGUGCUUGCACUGAUGUUGACUGGUCGAAGCCCUCGUCAAUGUCGGCUGUAACUAUAACGGUCCAAAGGUGGGAUGUGCGCCGCCUUUGUAAAAUCUGGCUAUAUGCUGGAAUAUCUGGAGAAUCCUAAGCUACUAUGGUAUAAUUUUACCUUGAAAGAUAAAAUUUAUGCCAAGUAAAAAAGCUUUAGGCGUAGUUACUAUAAAUAAUAAUCAAAAUAGUGAACUGCCAGACAAUCAGCAGGAAAGGCUGAAAACAAUAGGAUGGAUAGUAGGAUUUGUUGAUGGUGAAGGUUGCUUCACUGUUAGUAUUUUUAAAAAUCCUACAGCUCAACGUAAAUUAGGUUGGCAAGUAUUUCCUGAGUUUGUUGUUUCUCAAGGGGGAAAAAGUUUAUCUACUCUUGUAUUUAUUCAAAACUAUUUUCAGUGCGGUUUAAUAAUCAAAAAUAGUCGUCACGACAAUCAUCGUGAAGAUAUGUAUAAAUACUGUGUUCGUUCGCAAAAAGAUUUAAAAGAAAAAAUUAUCCCCUUUUUUCUAGAAAACAAACUUAAAUCAGCAAAACAAAAAGAUUUUGAGAUUUUUAUUGAAAUUGUUCAAUUAAUGACCAAAGGAAAACAUCUUAAUCAAAAAGGAUUAAGACAAAUUGCCGAAAUGGCUUUAAAGAUGAAUCGCAAGGUUCGUCCUAAGUUUUCAGAAAUCCUCAGACACUAAUACGCCAGAUUCAACUUUUUAAUUAAGAUAAUUAAGAGUUGAAAAGAUAGAGUGCGAUCUGUUUGGCGACAAACAGUAAAUAAUUGAGUGAUCAAUUAUGUAAAUAACAAUAAUAAGCGCAAUUCCUUUUCAGGUAAGUUCUGAAGCGCAUGAAAGGUCCAACGACUGGAAAACUGUCUCAGGGACUAGCUCGGUGAAAAUGCGAACCCGGUGAAGACGCCGGAUACCUGCGGCAAGACGAGAAGACCCCGGGAGCUUUACUGUAGCCUGGUAUUGUUUUAGGGGUUAGGUUGCGUAGCGUAGUGGGGAGGCGAUGAAUUCUAGCUUUCGGGCUAGAAAGAGCCGACAAUGAAACACCCAUCUUCCUAACUUUUAAAACUAAUUUAAAAGGAAAAAACUUUUAAUGACAGUGCUUGGCAGACAGUUUUUGUGGGGCGCAAUCCUCCCAAAAAGUAACGGAGGAGUUUAUUAAGGUCAGCUUGCUCCGGAUGGAAAUCGGAGCGAAAGUGUAAAGGCAUAAGCUGGCUUGACUGCAAGAGUGACAACUCGCGCAGAUGCGAAAGCAGAACUUAGUGACCCGAUAGCUCUUAAUAGAAAGGCUAAAGACAACGGACAAAAGCUACCCCGGGGAUAACAGGCUGGUGAGGUCCGAGAGUCCACAUCGACGACCUCGCUCGGCACCUCGAUGUCGGCUCACCACAUCCUGGGGCUGAAGAAGGUCCCAAGGGUUGGGCGGUUCUCCCAUUAAAGUGGUACGUGAGCUGGGUUCAAACCGUCGUGAGACAGGUUGGUCUCUAUCUGCCGUAGGCGUUCGAUACUUGAAAGAAGCUGUCCAUAGUACGAAAGGACCUGGAUGGACGCACCUCUGGUGUACUGGCUUUCCUGCUAAGGGAAUCGUCAGGUAGCUAUGUGCGGUUUGGAUAAGAGCUGAAAGCAUCUAAGCACGAAGCCAUUCUUAAGAUAAGGUAUCGUUAAGAGCGCUAGUAGACUACUAGCUUGAUAGGCGUUAGGUGUAAGAACAGUAAUGUUUUUAGCCAAGACGUACUAAAGCUCGAAAUUGCGAACA